AGUGAACGCUGGCGGUAGGCCUAACACAUGCAAGUCGAACGGCAGCACAGUAAGAGCUUGCUCUUACGGGUGGCGAGUGGCGGACGGGUGAGGAAUACAUCGGAAUCUACUUUUUCGUGGGGGAUAACGUAGGGAAACUUACGCUAAUACCGCAUACGACCUACGGGGGAAAGCAGGGGAUCUUCGGACCUUGCGCGAUUGAAUGAGCCGAUGUCGGAUUAGCUAGUUGGCGGGGUAAAGGCCCACCAAGGCGACGAUCCGUAGCUGGUCUGAGAGGAUGAUCAGCCACACUGGAAGUGAGACACGGUCCAGACUCCUACGGGAGGCAGCGGUGGGGAAUAUUGGACAAUGGGCGCAAGCCUGAUCCAGCCAUACCGCGUGGGUGAAGAAGGCCUUCGGGUUGUAAAGCCCUUUUGUUGGGAAAGAAAAGCAGCAGGUUAAGACCCCGCUGUUCUGACGGUACCCAAAGAAUAAGCACCGGCUAACUUCGUG
rnacentral:rRNA from 1 species